rnacentral:rRNA from 1 species
UACGUAGGUGGCAAGCGUUUGUUCGGAAUUAUUGGGCGUAAAGAGCGUGUAGGCGGUCCGGUAAGUCAGCUGUGAAAGUCAAGGGCUCAACCCUUGAAUGCCGGUUGAUACUGUCGGGCUAGAGUCCGGAAGAGGCGAGUGGAAUUCCCGGUGUAGCGGUGAAAUGCGCAGAUAUCGGGAGGAACACCAAUGGCGAAGGCAGCUCGCUGGGACGGUACUGACGCUGAGGCACGGAAAGCGUGGGGAGCAAACAGG